CAGCCCUGCCCGUCGUGCGGGAGCCCAGCAGAUGGAGCAGUGUUCCUGUGCAUGAGGCGGUGCGGGGCUGCAUCCAGAGCUGCACUGUGCAGUCGAGCCGAUCUCCCCCUGAGCAUCUGUGAAGCAUGGAGUAAAAGUGGUGGAACUGAGCUCUGCUGCUGUGAAAGCACAGCCCGGCCGGGUUAUGUGCUGAGGGCUCUGUCUGCCCGGUUAAGGGCCAUGAAUCUCAGCUGAUGUACUCAGGCGAUGCUAUGAGAGCAGUUUGGCGCACUUCGGUAUGCAGCGAGUUCCUCGGUCAGGGUUCCCCUUGGAGUUCCUCAGCAGGCACUUGAAGUGGGAGCAGCUUGCCCCAUGGGAUGUGUGCUUGGAGAUCUCGAGCUGUGGUGGAAAGGGGCCUGGAUAGACUCUAGUGGAUCUAGACCUGAUCCUGCAUCGAUGGACUACCACCAAGACCAAUGGUUUGGCAAAUACUCCAGGAUUUUAUCCAGCUUUGUUCCCUCCGUGUCAUCCCUUUAGAGGUUUUCACAGAUCACUGCAAAUGAAGGAUGAACCAUAUGAAAUAUGAGACAGACAACAGAGAGGUGAGCUGGACAUGGCCAGUGAGCAGCCAGCAUGUGGAAACCACAGCCCAGCAGGUGUGGAGUGACUGCUAUCACUGACUUUGGAAGAACUCCUGUUCUAAACUCAGUAUGCAGAAGCAAACCCCAACAGCACACAGAGGCAACAUUCCUGUGUGACACCCCCAUCAUCAAGCCCAGAUGCUCUGGUGGAGCGCAGAUGUCCCACAGAGGUCCAAUCUAAUGCACUGAAGUGACAGAGAAUCUGCUGCAUCCUCAGCAGUGUUAACCAGCAGGUACACGAGCUGCCUGGCAGAGGAGCAGACAGAACUCUCCUGGGACUGACCGCAGUGUCACUUUCCUUGAUGGGUCAUUGAGGUUUGGGUUCUGCCCUCUUCACGCAUCUCCUCUGGCUGCAGGUCAGAGUGUGACUCUACAGGACAGACUAUUUUGGAACAUUUGUAACAGUGAGCACACUGCGCUGCUAGGCACGCAAAGCACGGCCUGACUCUGGUUUGGACCUGACCCUAAAAUCCCCCAGAAUCUAAGUAAACGCUGCACCACGCGUCCCCUUCUGUGUGGCUCUUUUUGAAGGACUCGGAAUGCACACGGGGGACAGCAGCUUUGGCUGCAGCUUCCCCCCAGCUCAAGACUACGGGUGCUCUUUUCAUGCAUGUCUUGCAGACUCAUUUCUUCCCCCAUCUGUUGAUUUUUUUUCUUCAUUAUGUGUUAGCAAUCAAUGACUAUCCCAUGGCACGUUCCUUUGCAGGGCUCUGAACACAGCAUUUCUUGCCAAGGGAGCAUUCCACACGAGUGGCUUCUGCUCACGCUGUCUGUUGCUGCAAGUGGGACUUUCAUGCCAGCCUAACCCUAAUGCGAUGACUAUCACAUUAGCAGCUUUACAUAUUCAUUGAUUUGCAGAAGUGUUUUGUAUUGCCUUAAGCUCCAAAACCUUUGUGACAACGCAUUACAAACAACAGACAAA
rnacentral:lncRNA from 1 species